AAUGAACGUUGGCGGCGUGGAUUAGGCAUGCAAGUCGCGCGACAAGGAACCUUCGGGUUCUGGAGGAGCGGCAAACGGGGUAGUAAGGCAUCGGAACGUACCCUCUUGUUGGGAAUAGCCGCGGGAAACUGCGAGUAAUGCCCAAUAAUCCCUACGGGGCAAAGGUCCGCCGCAGGAGGAGCGGCCGAUGUGAUACCAGCUAGUUGGUGAGGUAAUGGCUCACCAAGUGCUUAGACGUCGUAGGGGGUGUGAGAGCAUCGGCCCCCACCACGUGGGACUGAGAUACUGCCCAGACACCGUACGGGUGGCUGCAGUCGAGAAUCUUCGGCAAGUGGGCGCAAGCCUGACCGAGCAACGCCGCGUGCGGA
rnacentral:rRNA from 1 species